rnacentral:rRNA from 1 species
AGCUCCAAUAGCGUAUAUUAAAGUUGUUGCGGUUAAAAAGCUCGUAGUUGGAUCUCAGCAGCCAGGGGGAGGUUCGUUAUUUGACGCUACUUCCCCAUUUGGCUGUGUCAUUUGCUGGAGGCUGGGCGGUGAUCUUAACCGGUUGUCGUCCAGUGCCAGCAGGUUUACUUUGAAAAAAUUAGAGUGCUCAAAGCAGGCUUCACACGCUUGAAUAUUCGUGCAUGGAAUAAUAGAAUAGGAUGUCGUUUCUAUUUUGUUGGUUUUCUGUAUUCGACAUAAUGAUAAAUAGGGACAGUCGGGGGCAUUGGUACUCAGAUGACAGAGGUGAAAUUCUUGGACCAUCUGAAGACCAACUACUGCGAAAGCAUUUGCCAAGAAUGUUUUCA